GUUUUAUUAUUUUUAUAAAAUAAUUCCAUCUUUUCAAAACAAAAUAAUAGUAAUUCCAUAAAUUCUUUUCUUAAUUAGUCACAAUCCACGUCAACAGCAUUGAUAAACAGAAGUGUUGAGGUGGCUUCCGCCAUGUCAUUUGGGAAACAUAUUUGGUAAAAUAUUUUGGUGGAUGUAGCACUACUCUUUAAUUUAUUCAAUUUAUUUCUCCUACCUUAAUCAACUCUUGCCAUAUACUCUAUUCAUAUUUAAUCAACUCACCAUAAUGAAUAAUUUCUUUUUUAUCAUUCUAUUAUGUACAAAUACUUUGUAAUUGAUUAACUUAUUUCAGUUAUUUCUCUAUGUACGUAUUAAUGAAUUCCAAAUUUCAUAUUUUGUUUCAGUUUAGU
rnacentral:lncRNA from 1 species